rnacentral:misc_RNA from 1 species
CGGUCAUCCAAAUUUUAAGGCGCGUGUUAGCAUGGAAGGAGCACAUGAAAAACUGCUGAAUCUCACUGUUGAAGAAGCAGAGGGAACAGAGUCCUCUGAAAAUGCAAAAACCAGCAGACUUCAAUCAAGUAAAUUCAUACUAUGGCUUCAAAUAUUCAUCUUCACUUUUUUUACUCUUGGUGGUCAAGCAGCUGGCACUCUGUUGGGCAGAGUAUACUAUGAACAAGGUG